CUGCGGAGGAUCAUUAACGUACGCAAUAUCAUGUCUGAAAACUAGGUGUUCGAUCGACCGUCUUUGGCCGGCCGACGACGCCCGGUGCGAGAAUUUAGAAGGGCUUCUUUGGGGUAGACACCCUCGCUCGGGUGUCUUUAAAUGUCGUCGCACGUCUCGCAAAAGGUUUCCUUUCUAGUACCUCGACCGAUCGAAUCGUAUCCCGUGUCGUUGGGUCGUACGCGGAACGAAAGGAAUUUCUUUCCGAGAGAGACUGCCACCCGGCCCCGUUUUUUUUUCGUCAACGUGCUUGCGACUGUACCGUAUGGAGAAAGGAAAAACGAGAGACAACUUUUAACGGUGGAUCUCUUGGCUCGUGCAUCGAUGAAGAACGCAGCCAGCUGCGAUAAGUAGUGUGAAUUGCAGAAUUCAGUGAAUCAUCGAAUCUUUGAACGCAAAUGGCGCUCUCGGGUUCUCCCGGGAGCACGUCCGUCUGAGUGUCGGCAUACAUAUCGUAUCGCACGAACGUGCGGCGUUGAGGCGUCGCGGCGUCCUUGCCGCGUCCCUCGAAAUGCAGGAGAACCGCCGUGUAAGCGAUCCUCGGAGGCCUAAGACAAGUUGGUUCCCCGAGCAGCAGCCGGUUCGGUUCGCCGAUAGUGACCUGAUCGAAUCUCGACCUCAGAUCGGGCGAGACUACCCGCUGAAUUUAAGCAUAUCAAUAAGCGGAGGAAAAGAAACUAACAAGGAUUCCCCCAGUAACGGCGAGUGAAGCGGGAAGAGCU
rnacentral:rRNA from 1 species